CCUACGGGAGGCAGCAGUGGGGAAUAUUGGGCAAUGGGCGCAAGCCUGACCCAGCAACGCCGCGUGAAGGAAGAAGGCUUUCGGGUUGUAAACUUCUUUUGUCAGGGAAGAGUAGAAGACGGUACCUGACGAAUAAGCCACGGCUAACUACGUGCCAGCAGCCGCGGUAAUACGUAGGUGGCAAGCGUUGUCCGGAUUUACUGGGUGUAAAGGGCGUGUAGCCGGGUUGACAAGUCAGAUGUGAAAUCCUGCGGCUUAACCGCAGAACUGCAUUUGAAACUGUUGAUCUUGAGUACUGGAGAGGCAGAUGGAAUUCCUAGUGUAGCGGUGAAAUGCGUAGAUAUUAGGAGGAACACCAGUGGCGAAGGCGGUCUGCUGGACUGUGACUGACGUUGAGGCCCGAAGGCGUGGGGAGCAAACAGGAUUAGAUACCCCAGUAGUC
rnacentral:rRNA from 1 species